rnacentral:rRNA from 1 species
UACAGAGGGUGCGAGCGUUAAUCGGAAUUACUGGGCGUAAAGCGCACGUAGGCGGCUUGGUAUGUCGGGUGUGAAAUCCCCGGGCUCAACCUGGGAACUGCAUCCGAAACUGCCUUGCUCGAGUAUGGGAGAGGGAAGUGGAAUUUCCGGUGUAGCGGUGAAAUGCGUAGAUAUCGGAAGGAACAUCAGUGGCGAAGGCGACUUCCUGGACCAAUACUGACACUCAGGUGCGACAGCGUGGGGAGCAAACAGG